UCACGACGGAGGAUCUGCGCAACUCGAAGAAAUUUCUUUCUUUCAUACCAAGUGUUCCAUGCUACUCGCUGAUUGGCUGCGUUGUCCUGACAUCAAGCUGUGAUAAGCAAAUGGCGGACGGAGAAGUUUCGCUUUCCUACAGUGCAAUCAUAUCAGUGGAAGAAACAAACAUUUGCGGAUCCAAGCUAGGUUAUGUCCAAUCAGUUUGGAGCACGCAGUUGCUCAAAAAAUUUCAAUUCAUGAAAUUUAACCAAAUUCCUAACUGUCUUUUAUUGCAUUCAAACUUGCAAUGCAUCAGCCCAUGCACUGAUGUCUCACUUGAGGCAUUUUUUCCUUAUUGCUUCUGGAUUUCUUGGAGGAGGAAAAUAAAAAUUCCUGGAGAAAGGUUGCAGUCAUCGUUUUUAUUCAUCACCAGGCGUUGAUUACUAAUAUUCAUUUUCGAAGAAGAAGAAGAAGUUGAAGGAAAAAAAGGAAGGAUGAGGAUGAGAAGGAGGACACCCGGACUACGUAAGUGGAUUCACCGUGCAAGGCAAGGCAGAGAAUUUUUUCCCAAUUUUUGUUGGACACCCCUGGACACAUCACCCAUUUUUCUGUAGAGGAGGUUGCGAUGGCAAAGCAUCCAUCGACCAACGUGGGAGUCGCCGUU